UACGUAGGGCGCAAGCGUUGUCCGGAAUUAUUGGGCGUAAAGAGCUCGUAGGCGGUUUGUCGCGUCGGAUGUGAAAGCCCGGGGCUUAACUCCGGGUCUGCAUUCGAUACGGGCAGACUAGAGUGUGGUAGGGGAGAUCGGAAUUCCUGGUGUAGCGGUGAAAUGCGCAGAUAUCAGGAGGAACACCGGUGGCGAAGGCGGAUCUCUGGGCCGAUACUGACGCUGAGGAGCGAAAGCGUGGGGAGCGAACAGG
rnacentral:rRNA from 1 species